UGGAGUGACAUGGAGCCUGAUGGAAUA
rnacentral:piRNA from 1 species